GUGCUUGCUUUGGUAUCACAUAUACUAAAAUUGGAAUGAUACAAAGAGUAUUAGCAUGGCCCCCUCAUUAGGAUGACACACACAUUAGGGACAAAUUCAUCUUUUUU
ensembl:snRNA U6 U6 spliceosomal RNA